UCCUAUAUGGUGUAGUGGCUAACAUUACCGCCUUUCAUCAAAUGGAGCACGCGGUAGCCCAGGGUUCGAUUCCCUGUAUAGGAG